GCGGGUAUAGCUCAGUGGUAGAACAGUGCUUACCAUGCAUAAAGUCCUGGGUUCCAUCCCCAGUACCUCCA
rnacentral:tRNA from 1 species